AUACUUACCUGGCAGGGGAGAUACUGUGAUCAUGAAGGUAUAUUUUCCAGGGCAAGCUUUAUCCAUUGCACUACAGACAUGCUGACCCCCGAGAUUUCCCUAACUGCAGGGAACUUGAACUUGACUGCAUAAUUUGUGAAGUAGGGGGCUGCAUUUGAACUCUCUCCUG